rnacentral:rRNA from 1 species
UACGAAGGGGACUAGCGUUGCUCGGAAUCACUGGGCGUAAAGGGUGCGUAGGCGGGUCUUUUAAGUCAGGGGUGAAAUCCUGGAGCUCAACUCCAGAACUGCCUUUGAUACUGAAGAUCUUGAGUUCGGGAGAGGUGAGUGGAACUGCGAGUGUAGAGGUGAAAUUCGUAGAUAUUCGCAAGAACACCAGUGGCGAAGGCGCUCACUGGCCCGAUACUGACGCUGAGGCACGGAAAGCGUGGGGAGCAAACAGG